rnacentral:rRNA from 1 species
UAGUAACUGCGAGUGAAGAGGGAAAAGCUCAAAUUUGAAAUCUGGCGGUCUUUGUGACCGUCCGAGUUGUAAUUUAGAGAAGUAUUACCCGCGCUGGACCGUGUACAAGUCUCCUCGAACGGAGCAUCAUAGAGGGUGAGAAUCCCGUAUAUGACAUGGACUACCAGGGCUUUUGUGGUGUGCUCUCGACGAGUCGAGUUGUUUGGGAAUGCAGCUCUAAAUGGGUGGUAAAUUCCAUCUAAAGCUAAAUAUAGGCGAGAGACCGAUAGUGAACAAGUACCGUGAGGGAAAGAUGAAAAGAACUUUGGAAAGAGAGUUAAACAGUACGUGAAAUUGUUGAAAGGGAAACGCUUGAAGUCAGUCAUGUCUCUCAGAGAUCAACCUGGCCUUUUUGCUUGGUGCACUCUCUGUGGGAUGGGUCAGCAUCAAUUUUGACCGGGGGAAAAAGUCUGUGGGGAUGUGGCACCCUCGUGGUGUGUUAUAACCUGCUUGCAUAUACCUCGGUUGGGAUUGAGGAACUCAGCACGCCGCAAGGCCGGACUUUUUAGUCACGUACGUGCUUAGGAUGCUGGCAUAAUGGCUUCAAUCGACCC